rnacentral:rRNA from 1 species
CCUACGUGAGGCAGCAGUGAGGAAUAUUGGUCAAUGGACGAGAGUCUGAACCAGCCAAGUAGCGUGAAGGAUGACUGCCCUAUGGGUUGUAAACAUCUUUUAUAUGGGAAUAAAAUGUUCCACGUGUGGGAUUUUGUAUGUACCAUAUGAAUAAGGAUCGGCUAACUCCGUGCCAGCAGCCGCGGUAAUACGGAGGAUCCGAGCGUUAUCCGGAUUUAUUGGGUUUAAAGGGCGCGUAGGUGGAUUGUUAAGUCAGUUGUGAAAGUUUGCGGCUCAACCGUAAAAUUGCAGUUGAAACUGGCAGUCUUGAGUACAGUAGAGGUGGGCGGAAUUCGUGGUGUAGCGGUGAAAUGCUUAGAGAUCACGAAGAACUCCGAUUGCGAAGGCAGCUCACUGGACUGCAACUGACACUGAGGCUCGAAAGUGUGGGUAUCAAACAGGAUUAGAUACCCCUGUAGUC